rnacentral:rRNA from 1 species
GACGAACGCUGGCGGCGUGCUUAACACAUGCAAGUCGAACGGAAAGGCCCUGCUUUUGUGGGGUGCUCGAGUGGCGAACGGGUGAGUAACACGUGAGUAACCUGCCCUUGACUUUGGGAUAACUUCAGGAAACUGGGGCUAAUACCGGAUAGGAGCUCCUGCUGCAUGGUGGGGGUUGGAAAGUUUCGGCGGUUGGGGAUGGACUCGCGGCUUAUCAGCUGGUUGGUGGGGUAGUGGCUUACCAAGCCUUUGACGGGUAGCCGGCCUGGGAGGGUGACCGGCAACAUUGGGACUGAGAUACGGCCCAGACUCCUACGGGAGGCAGCAGUGGGGAAUAUUGCACAAUGGGCGGAAGCCGGAUGCAGCAGCGCCGCGUGCGGGAUGACGGCCUUCGGGUUGUAAACCGCUUUCGCCUGUGACGAAGCGUGAGUGACGGUAAUGUGUAAAGAAGCACCGGCUAACUACGUG